CACCGCCCGUCACACCAUGGGAGUUGGUUUCACCCGAAGGCAGUGCGCUAACCGCAAGGAGGCGAGCUGACCACGGUGGGAUCAGCGACUGGGGUG
rnacentral:rRNA from 1 species